GUUUCCGUAGUGUACUGGUUAUCACAUUCAUCUCACACGCGAAAGGUCCCCGGUUCGAUCCCGGGCGAAAACA
rnacentral:tRNA from 1 species